GCCUCUAUAGCUCAGUGGUAGAGCGUCGCACUCGUAAUGCGAAGGUCCAUCGUUCAAUCCGGUGUCGAGGCAC
rnacentral:tRNA from 4 species